UUUGUUGACCUCCAAGGUAAAACAUGCCAGUGGGCGUGCGACUCCAUCAUUGGGGUAUUGGGGUUAAACUAUCAGUGUGCUGACCACGUCUUUCAAGUCCAGAAGUAUGCGCGGAACGACUUUCAGGCUCAAAUGGCUAGAUUACGUGAAAUAACUAUUUCAGGUAAGUCAGUACAAUGAGGCAUGUUACUUCCCCUAUUUUGGAGCGGGUCAUUUCUGCUCAAAUAUUGCUCUUCAUGAGUUCACGAUGACUGUAACGGGGUCAGAGCUCAUAGGGACCUAAGGUAUUUCUCAGUCUCAGAAUUGCAGGAAUGUUUCCUGGGGAGUCCAUGUGUGGACUUCAGGGAACCUCUGUAGAGGUUAAACCCUAAACAGGGGAAACCCUAUUCCCAAAAUGUAUAGGGAAGUGUCCGAUCCAAACAGCUGGGGAAACUCUGGGCCAGUUGUCCAAGGUGAGUUCACCAUGAAAAGAGAGACUUGUGUUUGAUUAUCACUGUCGUUCGUCUGGCUGGAACAUUCUAUUCCGUUUAUACACACAUAUCCAUCUCUCACUUUACCUGGUAUCAGUAUGGUGGUAAUGAGGUCACCUCUGUCACUGUCUUGUGGCAAGUUUCCUAACCAUUCUGAACCUCUGUUUUCUCAUCUAGUGAAAGAAGAAAAGAAUAUCUAUUAAAUAAAAUUAAUCAACACUUAAGGGUGGGCACAUGUGAAACUAGACUACCAAGCACCCAUUAGAUGCUUAACAAACAAAUGCUUCUAAAAGUAAGCUCAUUAAACAUUAAUAUUUAUAUAUAAUUAUAAAGUAUUCAAGAUUCAUAAAUGAUAUGAAGACUUAUCUUAUGCAUUAUUCCUGGUAUUAUAUUCCCCGUAAGCUGUGAACGAUCCAUCAAAUGGUGAAAAUUUAUGAUUGAUGGACUUUGUCUGUUUUCUUCCAGGUGUAUUUCUAUCAGGGAAUGCUUUGAAAGCCAUUACGAGGAAAAUUUUGCUGUGUCUGUGUUUGAAGAUAGCGUGCUGACCCCAUUUCUGUUCACACUUGGUUUUGAUUGAGAAUAAUAGUCUAUUAUAAAGGCUAAUGUUUGCUACGUCAUGUACGCGGCAAAACUGCCUUGGGUCUGCGUCUUGGGGCUUCUCUUUGUAGAAUCAGCUGCUUUCCUCUUUUCUUUUAAAUCUUUAUGGUUCUUGUUUUUACUACUCUAACUGUAAUAUGUGAUUAUUGUAAAUACUAUCGAGACAUUACAGAAACACAGGGCCUAUAAAGAACACAUUUUCUGCAAUCCCAACCUUCUCUCAAAGGUUUGGCAUAUUGUGUUCAUUUUAUUUAAUGAAUAUACUGGUGUGUGUGUGUGUGUGUGUGUGUUAACAAAAAUGGCCCAUACUAACAUGUUCUGCAAUUGAUUUUUAUAACCUUUAUACAUCUUAGAUAAGCUCUAUGUCAAUCUGCCUGCUCUCUGUCUCUGUCUUUGUAUCUCUCUCUCUAACUCUUGUGUAGUAUUCCACAGCGAGGUAUCCCUGUUGUAACCCCAAGCUUCCUUUCCAGGUCGCCUGCUGCCUUUGAUCCACAAGGUAGAUCAAAGAUUUCAUCCAUGCAAGGUCUCUCCAAGACUGGAGAAAAAGAAGCAGUAAGUGAGAGUGUUCUCGCGAGAGACUGCAGAGCAGUGAGCAGUCAUGGGUGGUUGACAGAGGAGGCUGAGGACCUGGAAACAUUGUGGACAGUGCUCCUUGGCAGGUUGAAUUUCCUUUUUGAACCCAGCUUUCUUGGCAUUGACCCUUAGUUCUCUGGUUUGUUACUGUCCUAGUGAUUGACACAGUAUCUCCUUGUUCUGUUCCACAUGGAGCGACCUCCUUCCUUGAUCCCUACCCCAAAUCGGACCUGUCUCUAGACCCACUUGCAGGUGACAAAAAUGGAUUCCGGAUGAAUGAAGCAGGAGAGCUUAUGGAGGGAAAAUUAAAGAGCUCAAGAACCACCAAGGCUGCUGGCGAAUCAGGCCGUCUCCUAGGAGACUGGGAGACCAGAGGGAAAUGAUGUGGAGUCACUGCUGGCUGGUGGGUGGCCCAUGGGUCACGGGUCUGCACCACCACCACUGCCCCUGCAGGCUGGUCCUGCCUCCCGUGGGGACCAAAACACAUAAGAAGGGGUUCGAGAUCCUAGAAAUAAAAUGCUGGCCACCACAGCUCAUUAGAAUGCUUUGGUAAACGAGGAGCUAUCUUUCUGGAUCUCUCUCUCUCUCUGCCUGUUCUUUCUCCUUCCACUCAAGGCUCUCUAGGAGGAGCUGUCCUGGAUAGAGACCUUUCCCAUUGCUGAUCUGAGCUGUGUUCCUCCGUCGCCCGCUUUCCACUGUCUGCCUCUUAGAAGGAAGAGUGGGUUGCAAUCAAAUUUUUGGAGGGAGCUACGAUCACUUUGGUUUUAAGCAUUUUGUUGCCCGUGACUUCACUUUUACCUAUUUUAAUCUCCAUGACAACCCUAGGAAGUGGGUAUUGUUAUUCCCACUUUACAGAUGGAAAGUCGAAGCCUUAGGGAGGUUAUGUGAUUCCAAGAUUGCACAUCUAGAAAUGGAGGAGACAGAUUUCAAACUCAGGGCUGUCUGAUUCCAAAGUCUGUGUUCUUUUUUUUUUUUUUU